UGACAAAAAAAUUGAAAAAAAAUUCUAAAAACAGUCCAGAAUGCGCUUUUUUAAGGGGGUGAUAAGUUUUCAAAAGAAUUUUCAUUUUUUCAAAAUUUGACCCUUGGGUGUUGACUUGUGUUACAUUUGCAAUAUGAAAAUCAAUGGUGAAGCGCGCUCGCCAUCUAUAGGAUUUUUGGGGUGUGACACUUGGCAUUUGCCAUAUGAAAUUUUCAAUAUGAUUUGGAUGAAUGUGGACCGAAUUGGGUGGUAUUGUCAUUAGGGUUUAUGAUUCGUGCGGUGCCAAUAUGUCCCCAUUCAUUUUUGUCCAUUUGGAGGGGGUCUUCCCUUACUCUGAAUAGAGGUCCUGUAUGAGCCUACUGUGGAGGAGAACAUAAAAUGGACAGCCAUCCAAAGCUGGUGCUAAUAUAGCCAGUGUAUAUAUAGCCAAUGAGUAACAUAUUGUCACACAUACCAGGAUCCAGGGAAAUCUGUUGUGUUAUAGGGUCAGCCAUAUGAUGCCCCUGGAGAAAAUUAGGAUUAAGUGCCUUGCUCAAGGGCACAUCAACAGAUUUUUUCCCUUAUCGGCUCGGGAAAUUGUACCACCAACCUUUCAGUUACCGGCCCAAUGCUCUACCCGCUAGGCUACCUGCCGCAAGGCAUGUCUACACUUUUUGAAUCAUAAAUGAGUUGGUUUCAGGGAAUUUCCAUGAUUAUAUUGUUGGCUAAGCUUGUGGUUUAAAUUAUUAUCGUCACUAGUUUGAGCUAGUGCGGCUGGAACCUGACUAAUCAAAUAGUUGAAACUAUGUCAAAUAAAACCACAGUGUUGCUUUUGGCAAAUAUAUAAAUCCUUCUAGAGACAUAUGGUAGCAGCUUUUUUCAGUUGUUUCAACACAAUGGAUCUCUUCAACAAAGACGGAGCUGCCUAGUUGAUUUAUUAUUUUGUUUACACAAGUUAUUUCAGUUUCGGAGUUCAGAGAGGAACAUUUUCAGUGAUGAAAUGGCAGAUGGGUGUUACACACAGUCAGAAAGCCUAUCCUACUGUAGUGGGAAAUAUCCGGCCAAGUCAUCCCCCUGCAACAUUCCAAGGAUUAGAUGGCUGCCCAACCCUUGGUUUACUCAUUGACACUGGCUAUAUUAGCACCAGCUUCGGAUGUCUGUCCAUUUUAUGUUCUCCUCCACAGUAGGCUCAUACAGGACCUCUACAACUAUCUUUGAUUUUGUGUUUUUUUUUUAAAUCAGAAAAUAAUUGUAAAAGAUGGAGCUACUGCGGACUGCACUUCUUGUUGUGUUUAUCACAACAGCAUUCACAAAACCGUUUGGCAGGCCUGGACACCAUAAUGGCCAUAAAGCAUCAAAUCCAUUGAAUAGGUUGAAAUGGUUCGAGUGGGGUCACUCUUCUGAGGAUGCCAUCAGACACAGCAAUGAAAGAGGCCCGGAAUCACCAAAGUCCUUUGAUUCUUCAGUAUCAAUGGAGUCUUCCUCAGAAUCUGCAGAAUCCAGCCAGUCCUCAGAAUCUGAUUCAUCAAGUUCAGAGGAGAUCUUCCCUGAGAGGACGACACCUGGACCAACUGCUCCAACCACAGUGAACCCACCCACUGCUGCCAUGUCAACUAUCCCACCGGUGAUAGAAAUGUCCACGAAUGGGCCAGUCAUCAAUGAAACGACACCUUCGCCAGGGAACGUUACUGCAUGUGUCACUGAGGACAUUAUAACUCCCGCUCCACCAACUCCCGCGCCACCAACUCCCACUCCACCAACUCCCCCUCCAGUCACAGAGAGCAGAGGAGACAGUCUUUAAAUGUUUAUAAAUAUUAGUCAGAAUUCAAGCUAAAUAAUUCCAAAGAGUUUAUCAUUAUUUGUUGUAUGGAAAAUUUACUUGAAUGUAUUUACAGUUUUGAAUGGAUUUAUAGCUUUUGUUGUCAGCUUCAGAAUAGUAUUACAGGUAAAUUCCCAAAUGGAAAAGAGUAAUGAAAAACAAAUAAGAAUCUUGUAUGGCGUAAGAUUUUUGUUUUUAUACAAAAAUCUAAUGAGUAUCUGGUAAGAUUUUGUAUGUUUUGCCUUAUGUCAGUAGUGUAUUUGAAUAUGUCUUGACUUAUAUGACUACGGUGACAUACACAAUUGUGGUGGAUUUUCCACAUCAGGGGUCUCCAACCUAUUCCAGCAUGAGAACAUUAUUUUAACUUUCAAAUAGGCACAUUCUUCUCUUUUCCUUCAUCCUGCAAGUCUUCCCUAGGUCCUUGGUGUACAACAUGUUUUCUGUUAAUAUACCUGGUAAAAUGAUGUUUAAUAAACAACUCUAAGAGGGCCCCCUAAAAUGA